rnacentral:pre_miRNA from 1 species
GUAGUACUCCCUCCGUCCGGAAAUACUUGUCAUCAAAAUGAAUAAAACGGGAUGUAUCUAGAUGUAUAUUAGUUCUAGAUACAUCUUUUUUAUCCAUUUUGAUGACAAGUAUUUUCGGAUGGAGGGAGUACUUG